GAGCAGCGAGGGAGGGCAGGGAGGAGGCUCUGAGGACUCAGAGCCCGGCCAACCUGGGCUUUGGACGCUCCCGGUCGUGGGGCAUCCACAGCUUCUCUGCGCCAGCACCUCACCACCCCUCGCAGUGAAGAGGGUGUUUAGAGGAUGUUUAGUGUGUGGAGAAGAAAAGACUGAGAGCGGAUCUCAUUAAUGCGUUAUCCUUGCUUGGACAAUGUCAGUAGAUGUUUGUGCUCAUUUUGCAGUGGUCGACAAUGAUGCAGUUUGAGGACGAUAUCACUUGCAAGGCAGCCACAUCACUUCUGAGCAUCUUCUUUAUUAUGUGUGUUAGUGACUUGAAGAAAAGAUUAUGGUAGCUCAUAAUCCUCUCAUUGCUACUAUAAGUUGUUGGAUAACUUCCGAUGUCAUCUUUAGAGGCUUUGUGCCUCCAUAACUCAAGAAAUCAAAGACAAACAUACCAAAUCACAACACAUACUUACUUCCUAUUUGCAUGGCAAUAAGGUGGGCCAUGUUCUGAACUCAGUGGUACUAUAUUCAUCUAUCUAAUUAAACAUUGUUAAUAAGCAUAGCUGUCUGGUAAGGGACUUCAUGCUGUUAGCCCUGUGUUGCAUAAGAAACAUGAAAUAGCCAAAUGCUAUAUGACAUUCAUUGAUUUGGUUGUUAUCACUCAUUUAUAGUUCUUCUCAGUAAAAUGACUUUCACAGCUAUAAAAUUUAGGUCUGUGCACUUGGUUCAUUGAGAAUAUAAAUAGAAAGUUAAACACAGAAGAAGCUGAAGAAAAAAUUAUCAGGGAGGAAGACGAUUCUGGGUGGAUUAUCUUUAUUUAUGUUAAGACACUUAAAGACAGGAUUAAAACAGGCAGUCAAAGAAUGUGCACGGCUGCCAAACAAGUAAAAUGGAAUAUCAGAUCCAUCUGGCAUUCCCCAUUCUGGGAAAUAAAUAGGAAGACCUAUUAAUUACUCUAUUCA
rnacentral:lncRNA from 1 species